AUUGUUCCACUUUGGAACUGAUCCGUCCGUACCUGAAAGAACACAGCUGGGAAAGUUGGUCCGCUGUGUAAGAAAUGUCUCUGUGCCUUUUACCUGCUUGCUGUCCUGCUAAACCAGUGCAGAGUUAUGUGUGAUAAGAGGACAGACCGGGAGCUGGUUACACCUCCAGGAAUCAUUUCCUACCUGGAUUUGCUUGUUUCCCUUGGAGAGCACCGCGAUAGCUCCUGAGCCACCCAUAUCCCUGAUCCCACAGCGAAGGAUGGAAACUAGAGAGGGAGUAUCAGCAGCGGGACAUCUGUGAAGGCAUCCAGCAAACACACCGAGAGCUACCAGGGAGCUCACAGGCCACCAGUACAAAGUUACCUAGAGCACAACUGCAACCCUGAGGCUGGGCUAUGAUGAAGCCAAAUGACAGCUAUGCUCCAUCAGCCUUCAGACACCCUGUCAAACAGUCUGCAUCUAAGCACUGAAUUCCUGUCUUCUCAUAGUGCUUCGCAGUAACCGUAAUGUCAAGUCCGACAGCAAGUGAUGAAUCACGCCAAUUACUGUAUUGCAGACAUACAAGUCACACUAAUGCACAGCAAAUACAGCACUCCUUAAUUACAGUUACAGACAUGUACAUUUGUUUUUCUUAGUAAUUAAAAUGUUCUAUUGU